GCAAGUAUGAAACCGGGCGAACGACACCCCCGAACUGCUCAAUCCGCGCAGCCCACCCCCCGCGCGCCCUUCCCCCCGGUUUCGUUGCCGCGCCGUCCUCCUCCGUCAUCCCGCUGCGCCUGCCCGUUAUCUCCCCCUCGACUCCCCGCGUUCCCCAUCAAUCCGUCUCUCUCUCUCGUCAGAAACAAGCAUACCAGGCUAUGGUUGCACCGGGCGGCGGCCUCCCUGGCUGCCAGUGGCGUAGCGUGAGAUUGAAAUAAGCAGGGGCCAAUCGCUGUGGUGGGAGCAGAACAAGCCGGCGCAGCCAAGCUGAGGAGCUAGCUAGCGGCGUCUGGCAGCGAGUUGACGUGGAGCAAACCAAUCGGAAGGGGGGGUCGCCCUGUUUUGCCUCCAUGAAGCUACGCCAGUGCUGGCUGCCUAACGCCACCACUCCGACCCUGGCGGUGGAUCUGGAUCAACAGAGCAUGAGGAGAGGUGAGUCUAGCGGUGAAUCUGUUUCAUAGUGAAAGAGAUGCAAAAAACAGAUGGUCAUUUGUUACAGCCUGUUGAAGGGAUACAAAAUUGGCCCACAUCUCAAAUGGCAAGACCACAACCACCUAAAACUCUAAAGAUGCAAGGUAGACAAAAAAGAGAGGAGAAGGGAACCACAUGAGAAGCCAAAGGGCAAGAGAAUGUCAAAGGUAGGAUCUGUUACGAGGUGCAGGAUAUGCAAGCAGCCUGGACACAACAAGAGCACUUGUGCAAGGAGUACAGGAAGGUCACAAUCUCACUCCCAUGUGCACCCACCACAAUCUGCAGCAAAUGUGAACCCAGUACAAUCUCAAUCACAUCCGAACUCUCAAAAUGCACUGGUUCCUUUGCCAAUGUCACAGCAAAGUGUCACUAGCACAAAGAAGAGGAAGCAGCCCUGCACUGUCAGUACUUCAAAGGCAACAAAGAAAUGCAAUGAUAUAGGAUUUCUCUACUCAGAGAAGACAGCCACAACCAUGCUAGUGCUAUGUCGAUUUCUAUGUUAGACUCUACCAGUACUUCAUCAUGUAAUAUGGCAGACUAAUGGUUUAUAUGCCAGUGCAAUGAAUAUUCUGUUAUCUUA